CCUACGGGCGGCAGCAGUGGGGGAUAUUGCACAAUGGGGGAAACCCUGAUGCAGCGACGCCGCGUGUGGGAAGACGGUCCUCUGGAUUGUAAACCACUGUCCCCAGGGACGAAGAUGACGGUACCUGGGGAGGAAGCUCCGGCUAACUACGUGCCAGCAGCCGCGGUAAUACGUAGGGAGCGAGCGUUGUCCGGAAUUACUGGGUGAAAAGGGAGCGGAGGCGGGACUGCAAGUUGGGUGUCAAAUCUACCGGCUCAACCGGUAGCCGCACUCAAAACUGCAGUUCUUGAGUGAAGUAGAGGCAGGCGGAAUUCCUAGUGUAGCGGUGAAAUGCGUAGAUAUUAGGAGGAACACCAGUGGCGAAGGCGGCCUGCUGGGCUUUUACUGACGCUGAGGCUCGAAAGUGUGGGGAGCAAACAGGAUUAGAUACCCCAGUAGUC
rnacentral:rRNA from 1 species